AAAUUAUUAUGCAAAUUGGAAUUAAAUGUCAUAAACAUUAAAUAUUUAGUUUUCCAAUCAAACUCAUCGAUGGUAUUGGGCUCUUUGGAUCGCUGAAAUCUAUCUCAGACACCAGUGAUCAUUAGUUUGCCAGGUGAGCCCAAUUAAAAACACACUACUUAAGAAGGAUGUUCCACAUUAUUAAGCAGGCCACAGGUUUCAAGCAAUAUGGGAAAGAAAAAGGAUCUCUCUGUUGCAGAAAAGCAUUAAAUAGUGCAAUGAAAAUGCUGGCCAACAACCUGGGCAAGGAAUUCUACUACUCUGGUCCAAAGACAUUGUGAACCCCUUCUGGUGGUGCUGUAAGCAAGCUGAAACCUAUAAACAGUUUCUGGUCUGAAGACAACCACGCAGAUAAAGAGCAGGGCUAAUCUAAUUAAAGAUGUUUAGGAACUUUUCAACACCGAAUUUAGUAUGUUUACAUGCUCCUCACAGUGGC
ensembl:lncRNA